rnacentral:lncRNA from 1 species
UAGCCAAUAGAUGAAGGUAUCAUUCCACUGAGGCGAUUAUUCUGCAAUCUUAUAAAGCUCAGAGAAGACAAUUGACCAGGUUUUGAAGGCGGUAUCUCUCCCUCGAGCUGGUUGGCAUUCAGGUAAAGAAUUGAAAUGGAAUUUAGUUUGACAAUGGAACGAGGGAUUAUCCCUGUUAACGAGUUCUUAGACAAAUCAAGCUCUUUCAAUUCUUGCAGAUUGCCAAUGUUUUCUGGUAUGAUCCCUGUGAAGAAAUUAUCUUGAAGACACAAACUCUCUAAAUUUGUCAACCUUGUUAUAGACUCAGGAAUCACACCAGAAAGUUUAUUUGAAUGGACAUCCACUCUUCGAAGAUUCUUG